rnacentral:rRNA from 1 species
UACGGGGGGGGCAAGCGUUGUUCGGAAUUACUGGGCGUAAAGGGCUCGUAGGUGGCCAACUAAGUCAGACGUGAAAUCCCUCAGCUUAACUGGGGAACUGCGUCUGAUACUGGAUGGCUUGAGUUUGGGAGAGGGACGCGGAAUUCCAGGUGUAGCGGUGAAAUGCGUAGAUAUCUGGAGGAACACCGGUGGCGAAGGCGGCGUCCUGGACCAACACUGACACUGAGGCACGAAAGCGUGGGGAGCAAACAGG